GUAACAUUUCUAGCUUGCUAAAAGAUGACGAGUGGCGGACGGGUGAGUAAUGCUUGGGAACUUGCCUUUGCGAGGGGGAUAACAGUUGGAAACGACUGCUAAUACCGCAUAAUGUCUUCGGACCAAACGGGGCUUCGGCUCCGGCGCAAAGAGAGGCCCAAGUGAGAUUAGCUAGUUGGUAAGGUAACGGCUUACCAAGGCGACGAUCUCUAGCUGUUCUGAGAGGAAGAUCAGCCACACUGGGACUGAGACACGGCCCAGACUCCUACGGGAGGCAGCAGUGGGGAAUAUUGCACAAUGGGGGAAACCCUGAUGCAGCCAUGCCGCGUGUGUGAAGAAGGCCUUCGGGUUGUAAAGCACUUUCAGUUGUGAGGAAAAGUUAGUAGUUAAUACCUGCUAGCCGUGACGUUAACAACAGAAGAAGCACCGGCUAACUCCGUGCCAGCAGCCGCGGUAAUACGGAGGGUGCGAGCGUUAAUCGGAAUUACUGGGCGUAAAGCGCACGCAGGCGGUUUGAUAAGCUAGAUGUGAAAGCCCCGGGCUCAACCUGGGAUGGUCAUUUAGAACUGGCAGACUAGAGUCUUGGAGAGGGGAGUGGAAUUCCAGGUGUAGCGGUGAAAUGCGUAGAUAUCUGGAGGAACAUCAGUGGCGAAGGCGACUCCCUGGCCAAAGACUGACGCUCAUGUGCGAAAGUGUGGGUAGCGAACAGGAUUAGAUACCCUGGUAGUCCACACCGUAAACGCUGUCUACUAGCUGUGUGUGUCUU
rnacentral:rRNA from 1 species